rnacentral:siRNA from 1 species
GAGACGACGUGUUGGUGACGG